GCGCAGCUAACACAUGCAAGUCGAGCGUAGCACAGGGAGCUUGCUCUGGGUGACGAGCGGCGGACGGGUGAGUAAUGUCUGGGAAACUGCUGAUGGAGGGGGAUAACUACUGGAAACGGUAGCUAAUACCGCAUAACGUCUUCGGACCAAAGAGGGGGACCUUUCGGGCCUCUUGCCAUCAGAUGUGCCCAGACGGGAUUAGCUAGUAGGUGAGGUAAUGGCUCACCUAGGCGACGAUCCCUAGCUGGUCUGAGAGGAUGACCAGCCACACUGGAACUGAGACACGGUCCAGACUCCUACGGGAGGCAGCAGUGGGGAAUAUUGCACAAUGGGCGCAAGCCUGAUGCAGCCAUGCCGCGUGUAUGAAGAAGGCCUUCGGGUUGUAAAGUACUUUCAGCGAGGAGGAAGGCAUUGUGGUUAAUAACCGCAGUGAUUGACGUUACUCGCAGAAGAAGCACCGGCUAACUCCGUGCCAGCAGCCGCGGUAAUACGGAGGGUGCAAGCGUUAAUCGGAAUUACUGGGCGUAAAGCGCACGCAGGCGGUUUGUCAAGUCGGAUGUGAAAUCCCCGGGCUCAACCUGGGAACUGCAUUUGAAACUGGCAGGCUAGAGUCUUGUAGAGGGGGGUAGAAUUCCAGGUGUAGCGGUGAAAUGCGUAGAGAUCUGGAGGAAUGCCGGUGGCGAAGGCGGCCCCCUGGACAAGGACUGACGCUCAGGUGCAAAAGCGUGGGGAGCAAACAGGAUUAGAUACCCUGGUAGUCCACGCCGUAAACGAUGGGUACUAGGUGUAGGGGUUUCGAUACCUCUGUGCCGCCGUUAACACAAUAAGUACCCCGCCUGGGGAGUACGGCCGCAAGGUUAAAACUCAAAGGAAUUGACGG
rnacentral:rRNA from 1 species